CCGCGACCCCAGGUCAGGCGGGAUUACCCGCUGAGU
rnacentral:rRNA from 10 species